UGGGAUACCUCAGUCAGUAGAGCAGGAGACUCUUAAUCUCAGGGACAUGGGUUCGAGAGCCCCACAUCGGGCAAAA